GAAAAACAGCUGAAGUCUCCGUUUUGGAAGGAAGACCAAGGCACCCAGGUGUUCAGCGAGGUCCAUUCCGGCCUGCAGCGUGGGGAUGUGAGUCUGAUCCUGAUCCUCCCCAGUGAAUGAUUGGAAUCCCAGGGACAGCUGUGCACCCUGCCCCUCACCAGGCACCCAAGACUAACUUUGAGCCUUGGCUCAACAAAGAUGGCUGAGUUUAUAGAAUUGCAAAUGCUGGUGCCUCAACAAAGCCUGAAUCUGUCACCUUGUAGGCUUUGGAAUGGCUUAAUGCAUUUUAAUAAGGAAGAAUCAUAACUGAAUAAGAAUAACAAGUUGUUCUUUCCCGCUGGGUCCUUGCUGUGAACACUCAGAGCAGGAGCCAGGCCUUUUCUUGCUCCGGGAAUGGCUUCAAGGGCUCUGUUCAUUCCGUCCUAACAUUCCCAACAGCACCGUUAAUCAUUCUGUGUGAAUCUUCGGGUGAUAUCAUGUUAAUAAUUAACGCCUCACCUUCUGUUUCCAAAUGCGACUGCCGUGAUCCUGUUCCUUUCAAGCUAAUGAGUUUCCUGCAGCGCUUUGCAAAUGUUAACCAGGAAAUGGCCCGAAUGUCUCCCUUCAAG
ensembl:lncRNA